AUACAAAUCACUUGGGGGUCUUGUUAAAAUGCUGAUUCUGAUUUGGUAGGUCUAGGAUGGGAUCUGAGUAUCUGCAUUUCUAAUUUACAGGUGUUACUGAA
rnacentral:pre_miRNA from 1 species